rnacentral:rRNA from 1 species
AGAGUUUGAUCCUGGCUCAGAACGAACGCUGGCGGCAUGCCUAACACAUGCAAGUCGAACGCCAUCCUCUGGAUGGAGUGGCGCACGGGUGAGUAACGCGUGGGAACCUGCCUUUUUCUGCGGGACAACGAUUGGAAACGAUCGCUAAUACCGCAUACGCCCUACGGGGGAAAGGUCCGCCGGAGAGAGAGGGGCCCGCGUUUGAUUAGCUAGUUGGUGAGGUAAUGGCUCACCAAGGCGACGAUCAAUAGCUGGUCUGAGAGGAUGAUCAGCCACACUGGGACUGAGACACGGCCCAGACUCCUACGGGAGGCAGCAGUGGGGAAUAUUGGACAAUGGGGGCAACCCUGAUCCAGCAAUGCCGCGUGUGUGAUGAAGGCCUUAGGGUUGUAAAGCACUUUCACUGGCGAAGAUGAUGACGGUAACCAGAGAAGAAGCCCCGGCUAACUUCGUGCCAGCAGCCGCGGUAAUACGAAGGGGGCGAGCGUUGUUCGGAAUUACUGGGCGUAAAGGGCGUGUAGGCGGCUCUUUAAGUUAGGCGUGAAAGCCCCGGGCUCAACCCGGAACUG